CUAACCCAAAAAAGUCAUUACUUUAGUGAUUAAUAUAAUAUCUCGCUUCGCGAAGCAUAUUGAUUCUUAUUUGGUAUGUCACAUGGUAGAAAUACAAGGGUAUGCUCGUCUGGUGGGAGACCACUGCGCAGGAAGCCAGCAUACGUCACGCAUGACGUCACAUACGGUCACCUUCGACUAUAUUCGGAGUGGUUCGUGUCUGUCAAAUCUGCACGGCGGUAACCUGCUAGUUCACGAUUUUAUUAUAUUAUAUUUAAAAAUGACUUUAUGUGCAAUAAAAGGAUGCACAAACAAUUCUCGGAAAACGAAAUUUGUGCCAGAAAAAAAAAACAAUAUUUUAGAUUUCCGUAAGACAUCGCAAUUGCUGCAAAGUGGCGUGAAGUCUGCAAAAAACAAAAUGAUUUCGUUUUCAAAAAAAGGAUAUGUUCGAUACAUUUCGAACGUUCGAGCUUCCAGAAGACCCGGCAACAACGACUACUGGAAUAUUCUCCAGUAAAAGUACGCAAGUUGCGAUAUUGAUGCAAUUCCCACAUUACAUUUAGUUAAAGAGUCGCUGGAAAAUACAUCACUUAUCACUGAUGAAGGGUUGGAUGCAUCAAAGCACAUCGAUGAUAUGCUAGAAGAUGCUAUUGUUGAUGCAACAUCAACAUGAUCAAUUGCUGCGACGGAUGUAUAUAGCCCUGUUAAUGAUGUCGGUUCCAUGUAAGUUCUACGUACUUAAGGAUAGUUUUUUUAAUUGUCUCUAUUCUAGGUUGCAAGUAAAAAAACUUCUUAAUUUGAACCCGCAAUGCCAUUUCAUUUACUUGAUACACUAUUAGGCAAGAUAUAUGUAGUAAUUUUUUAAUUUCAUUAUAUUAUACUUUCAAACAAAAGUCUGCAAUUGGAAUUAGCAGCAAUGAAAAAGAAGUUGCAGAAGUACGAAGAGAAACAGAAAUUGGAUAGGUAGAUAUCUUUUUUUUUAGAGGAAGAAGAACUUAAACGUUACAGGAAAUAAAUAUUGUAAACACCAUCGAAGACGAAGGCCUAAAAUAUAUCGCGGGCUAUAUGUAGCAUAUCGUUUACAAACUAAGUACAAUAAUUUAGGUGUUGAAACUGCUGAGAUGCCUGUUAUAACCGAGAUAGACUGCAGGGUACAGUUUAUUUUAUCUCACGUGGUAGAUGCAUGUACCCGUCAGACGACUUAUUGAAUUAAGGCUGCGCGAAUUAUGAAUGUCGAAUUCAGUAAAUACCACGGGUCAAGCCUUUGCGCUGAUAAAUUGAUUUUUAACAAGCUCACCGAUAUAGUCAUAUCACAGAUGCAACCAAUCGGGCUACCACGCGACGUAAUACUAUGCCUCGUUUGAACACGGAUGUACAUUCGGGUCCGCGAAAUCAAUCGUCAAAUAGCCAUACAAAAUAUAGAGCUAAGAAUAAGAAAAAAAAUACAUAAAUUUACUAAUAACAAAACGUAAAGUAUUAUUAUUAGUAAAUUUA